AAACCAGCAAUGCGCCAACCGUCGGCGUCACCUCCACUGCGGAGUGGUUCUAUGGCCGCGAGACAAGAUGCUACGGAUAGAACGCCCAAAGACACAAGAAGCAACACGAGUCAAAAUAAGCCAUGUUUCAACAACAACGUAUACGCACGGCAUAGAAGUUUCAAUUCAGGCAGUAAUUCAGCAAGGGAUUCACUAAAGAGCAGAGAAACGCUGA